UUAACUAAGUCUAAGUCUGAGGACUUAAAACUGUAAGUGUUAGAGACUGAACUGCAUAAAAUUAGAUCUGAGGAUCUAAACAGAUAGUGUGUCUGUAUUACUACUUGUUACGGCCUGAAACAUGAUUUCGAGAAUCUCAUGGGCACAGAUGUAAAACACUGUAAAGCAUGUGGCUGAACAUGUGUUGUAGGUACUAACAUGAGAAUAUAGAAAAACAGGAGGGCUGAUUCGGAAAACCGCCAAAGGGAUAAGGAUAAGGUUGCCCCAAUUUUCCUCCUGUGCGGUUGCUAAUGGAGAUAGUAUUCAGAUUUCAGAACGAUGAACCAAUCGAUUCAUAGUGCUCCAAUUACGCAAGUACCGAUGGCAUCAAUGCUAUGGGGCUGCGUUAGCAGGUGUCAUGCGCGCCCGCCGCUCGUCGCAAGCACCGCGUCGGAAAGCUGAGGCCGCUGCGCCUCGUUCAGGAUGGAGCCGCCUCUGUGCGGCACGCCGGCGGGCGCUCAACUACUUGGUGGCCGGGUCGCGGGGAGCCGCGCCGACAGGCCGCGGCCACGCGCGUUUCCGUGGCUUGCGCUGCCUGGGGAAAGAGCGCCGCGCGCCGUAGCACAAGGAGCCGGACCAGGAGGGGUGCCUCACAACCACCGUCUCGGCUGUUGGUAAGGGAGUUGGCCGUUGGCCGGGUGUCUUGCACGUCGUGCACCGGUGCGACGUCGAGGCUGGGCUCUCCGCUGCCAGCAGAUCGUCGCAGAGGACGACGGGGUCGACGAAAAGAAGAAACGAGGAGAAGGUUGUUCCAGCGUAUCCGGAGAAAGGAAUUCAUCGGAGUUCUUCGUCGAGGCUCUCGGCAGAGGCGUGCUGAUAACGUGUUUUGAGUGAAAAGUAAAGAACGAGAGAGUUUGAUUGAAAGAUGAUCCAUCAGUCUUUAUUGAUGAUAGAAGUGGGGUAUUUAUACCCAGGCGGAAGUAUACAUGGUGCUUGGCGGUCAAGUAAACACAUAGUUACUUGAGAGCCAAGGAAUUACAUAGUUGCCUUGAGAACCAAGGAAGUA